ensembl:snoRNA
AAGUUCUUUUCUCAGUUAAGAUCUGAUCUUUUAAUUUGAGCUUGCUAUAGCAAAAUAGUCUAACCUAUUCCGGUGUUCUCUUCACCAUGAGACAAGCCGUUAUAUAGACUCAAAAAAA